UUGCCGUGCAGGGAGGAGCCGGUGGUCAAUCUCAAUUGGCCAGGACUCAGCUAAAGGCCAGAAGAAGAGGAAAGGAAGUGAGCCUUUGCCCUCCUGACCUGAUCUGGCAGAGGAUGUGAGGCCGUCGCUGUGAUUGGCUUCGCCAGGUGCCAGUAAGGACUCGCAUGCUACGUUAGCACUGGAUUACUUCAUUGACGCACAGCUGGACGGUGCCUUAUGAGUGGACAUCAGGGAACCAAGACCAAAGCCAGGUUGUGAGGCAAUGGGAUUUGCUGCAAAAAUAAGAGUCUGCCCAUUCAGCAGCUCAUCAGGAGAAAUAACUGCUACUGAGGCAAGAGGAAGCUGGUUGCCCUCAGCCCGAUUUGCCUACAUUCUGCAUUUACCGUUAUUACGAAUUGUAUCACAGUAGUGUCCAGGCACCAAGUCGUGGACCAGCACCUGGUUGUGCUAGACACUAUACAAACAGAGAAGAAGGCGGACCCUGUUCCCAAGAGAUAACAGUGGAAGUAUGGUUUGACAUUCUGCGGCCAGAAAGGGGAAACAAUGGGAGGUCUGUCUCAGGACAUGGAAAGGAAGCUGCUCACUCAGAAUUGAAGGCUCUGGAAAUCACUGAGAAGCUAGGAGGCACAGUUGUUACACCGCUGAUCAUGACCCAAAAUGGCAGAGUCCAGAUAACGGAAUGAGGUCAAUCCUAUGUAUUGAACGAGCAGUGGAAAACAGAGCAUUUGAUCAUGCCACUGAAGACUGUCUCGUCACCUUACACACAGCAAGCUGACGUAAGGUGACACAG